rnacentral:rRNA from 1 species
UACGUAGGGGGCAAGCGUUGUCCGGAAUCAUUGGGCGUAAAGCGUGUGUAGGCGGAUCGUUAAGUACCUUGUGAAAUCCCACGGCUCAACCGUGGAACUGCUUGGUAUACUGGCGGUCUUGAGCCAGCUAGGGGCUACCGGAACAAAUGGUGGAGCGGUGAAAUGCGUAGAUAUCAUUUGGAACGCCAAUGGUGAAAACAGGUAGCUGGGGCUGUGCUGACGCUGAGACACGAAAGCCAGGGGAGCGAACGGG